CUACAGGUGCUUACUACUGUGCCUAGCCCAUUACCUUUCACAUCAUUUUCCCUCACCCAGUCAUCUGAUUUCUAUUCCUAUAGGUUUUUGGUGUUUUUUUUUUUUGGCCUAUUGUAGGGCUUUAUAAACAGAAGCACAGAGUGUGUAUCCUGUGUUUGGCUUCUUUAAUUCAGCACACUGUUUUUGUUGUUGUUGUUCAUGUGUCUGUGUAUAUCAAACAUAAAGUAUUGUAGAACAGUGUUUCAUGGGGUGUCCUAUACCACAGUUUAUUUAUCCAUUCAUCUGUUUAUGGGUAUUUGGGCUAAUUUCCACUUUUUGGAAGCUGCUAUGAAAAUUUACAGACAAGUCUUUUUGUGGAAAUAUAUUUGUAUUUUUCUUGGAUAAAUACCUGUGAAUGAGACAUUAGAUCCUGUGGUAAGUGAAUGUACUUGAUAUAGAAUGAGCUGCUUAACUGUUUUCCAAAGUGCCUGGACAAUUUUACACUUACCAGCAUUGUGUGAGAGUUCCAGUUACUCUUCAGCCUCAUUAGCACUUAGUAUUUUUAGUUUUUAAAAGAAUAAUUCUAGUAAGUGUGUAGUGGUGGGUGUCUCAUUGUGCAUUUUCUUGAUGAUUAAUGAUAUUGAACAUCUUUUCAUGUGCUUAUCUGCCAUCAUUAUCUCAUAUUUGGUGGAGUCUACUCAAAUCAUUUGCCUAUUUUUUUAAAAAAGUAGAAUGUUUGGUUUCAUUUUAUUGAGUCUUAAAUGUACUUUAUUUUGGAUACAAC
rnacentral:lncRNA from 1 species